GUGGGGAAUCUUCCGCAAUGGACGAAAGUCUGACGGAGCAACGCCGCGUGAGUGAAGAAGGUUUUCGGAUCGUAAAGCUCUUUCGUUAGGGACGAACGUGCUCUUUGUGAAUAAUGAGGAGUAAUGACGGUACCUAAAUAAGAAGCCACUGCUAACUACGUGCCAGCAGCCGCGGUAAUACGUAGGUGGCAAGCGUUGUCCGGAAUUAUUGGGCGUAAAGCGCGCGCAGGCGGGAUAUCAAGUCUGUCUUAAAAGUGCGAGGCUCAACCUCGUGAGGGGACAGAAACUGGUAUUCUUGAGUGUCGGAGAGGAAAGUGGAAUUCCAAGUGUAGCGGUGAAAUGCGUAGAGAUUUGGAAGAACACCAGUGGCGAAGGCGACUUUCUGGACGAUGUCUGACGCUGAGGCGCGAAAGCUAGGGGAGCGAACGGGAUUAGAUACCCUUGUAGUCC
rnacentral:rRNA from 1 species